UACGGGGGGAGCAAGCGUUGUUCGGAUUUACUGGGCGUAAAGGGCGCGUAGGCGGCCACCGCAAGUCAGUUGUGAAAUCUCUGGGCUUAACCCAGAACGGUCAGCUGAUACUGCGGGGCUAGAGUGCAGAAGGGGCAACUGGAAUUCUCGGUGUAGCGGUGAAAUGCGUAGAUAUCGAGAGGAACACCUGCGGCGAAAGCGGGUUGCUGGGCUGACACUGACGCUGACAGCGCGAAAGCUAGGGGAGCGAACGGG
rnacentral:rRNA from 1 species